UACGGAGGGUGCGAGCGUUGUCCGGAAUCAUUGGGCGUAAAGGGCGCGUAGGUGGCCCGGUCAGUUCGUGGUGAAAGCGCGGGCUCAACUCCGCGUCGGCCAUGAAUACUGCUGGGCUGGAGCACUGUAGAGGCAGGCGGAAUUCCGGGUGUAGCGGUGGAAUGCGUAGAGAUCCGGAAGACACUGAGGCGAAGGCGGCUUGC
rnacentral:rRNA from 1 species